GAUGAACGCUGGCGGCGUGCCUAAUACAUGCCAGUCGAGCGAACAGACGAGGAGCUUGCUCCUUCGACGUUAGCGGCGGACGGGUGAGUAACACGUAGGUAACCUACCUAUAAGACUGGGAUAACUUCGGGAAACCGGAGCUAAUACCGGAUAAUAUUUCGAACCGCAUGGUUCGAUAGUGAAAGAUGGCUUUGCUAUCACUUAUAGAUGGACCUGCGCCGUAUUAGCUAGUUGGUAAGGUAACGGCUUACCAAGACAACGAUACGUAGCCGACCUGAGAGGGUGAUCGGCCACACUGGAACUGAGACACGGUCCAGACUCCUACGGGAGGCAGCAGUAGGGAAUCUUCCGCAAUGGGCGAAAGCCUGACGGAGCAACGCCGCGUGAGUGAUGAAGGUCUUCGGAUCGUAAAACUCUGUUAUUAGGGAAGAACAAACGUGUAAGUAACUGUGCACGUCUUGACGGUACCUAAUCAGAAAGCCACGGCUAACUACGUG
rnacentral:rRNA from 1 species